rnacentral:rRNA from 1 species
GACGUAGGGCGCGAGCGUUGUCCGGAUUUAUUGGGCGUAAAGAGCUCGUAGGCGGUUAACUAAGUCAGACGUGAAAUCCCCAGGCUCAACCUGGGAACUGCGGCUGAUACUGGAUGGCUUGAAUCCGGGAGAGGGAUGCAGAAUUCCAGGUGUAGCGGUGAAAUGCGUAGAUAUCUGGAGGAAUACCGGUGGCGAAGGCGGCCUGCUGGGCAGUGACUGACACUGAGGCGCGACAGCGUGGGGAGCAAACAGG